ACCAGGAUGGCCGAGUGGUUAAGGCGUUGGACUUAAGUUCCAAUGUAUGAAUGUACGCGUGGUUCG
rnacentral:tRNA from 1 species